UUCAUUAAGCUCCUGCCUGGGUUCACACAGGCACCAUGGCUCCUCCAGAAUCUCCUCUUCUCUCUGUGAGGGAAGCUAGCUGUCGUAACACGGGGAUGGUGGGCAGCCAGUGGCGUGAUCUACUUGUGGGAGGCCUAGGACCCAACGCCUCUUGCUAGUGCCCACAUGGAGAGCCUUCUCAGCCAUGUUCCUGUCAGGUGGCCAGCACCCUGAUCAUAACCUCCAAGAAGCCAGAGCCUGAAGCCAGCCAGCUGGGCUGCUCACAGUUCCUACCACAGAAACUGAAAAGUGUCUAUUGUGGUGGGUGGCUAAGUUUUGGGAUACUUGGUGACACAGUAAAGGGAUAAUGUUUGGAGGGUCAGCAAGAGCCAGCUCUAGGAAGCCCUGCAGGCCCUUCAGUUUGGUUUCCAGUUCAGUUCUUCGGAGACACUCAGCAUCCAGGUCCUGGAGUUGGGAGUGGAGGUUGGCCUCCAGCUGUCCCCGCUCUUGGCUCACUUUACGAAGCUCCUCCUGCAGCCGGCCCUGGAAUGUCUCAUAAUGGUGGCUGAGGUCGAAGGUGGCUGAUCCCUGGCCCUGCAGGAAGCUCCAUCGGGUCUCCAGCAGUUGGUUGCGUUGCUCCAGAGCUUGGACCUGCAAGAGCAGGAGGGUACUGAGUGACCCCUGUGAAAGGACCGUUAGACUAGGAUCUCGACCUGCAGGUGGAGAGACACUGCAUAGGGAGAUCAGUAUUUGGAGAGACUCCUGAUUCAGAAGUUGAAGUGGCUGAGGUCAGAGAGCCAUCGGUGACCUGGUGCGUGUUCUCCAAGGCCAACAUUAUGACCACCAUGAAGAGCUCGAACUGCAGGUUCUCUUUGUGCCGCUCUUGAGAAGAACUUCAAGUUGGGGUUGGAGUUGACCCAGGCCCCUCUGCACCCAGGGGGAUAGAACUUGAAGCUGGUCUUGGUGCUGUAGCUGAGCUCCAGCAGAGAAUGCUUCCAUGAGGGACCGGUGAACUCCUGCAGGCUGCUGAAGGGCUCUCACUUUCUGCUCGCCAUUUGCCCAUUUUAUAUCAAGGUGGUCAGCAACAGAAAGUAGGGGAACCAUGCUUUGUAUAAGUAGUUCCAAGAACAUUCAGCAAGUACAUGCGAAGUGCCAGGAUUCUGAUAACCGGAAAGUCUUGUGAAAUUGGGAAUAAAAAUAAGGAAGGUGGUGUCCCAGAUGCCAACCUUGGGACCUUUACUGGGAGAGGCUAGGAAUGUCUAACACAUGACAGAUGUGUCAUUGAUCAGCUGCUAAGGUGACAUCUCCAUUAUUGGAUCUUUGUAAGGGAUUCUGAGCUGGAGUACACUGGAUUGUUCUGUUUCUCAGUACUUAAGCCCCAUGGGUCAGACACUGCUGAGGCCCACUUUACAGAUUGAUAAGUGGAGUCUCACAGAGGUCAGUUACAAGGACAUGCAGCUGGGAUGAGGCUGUUCCUCUGGAGAGCUGUGCAGCUUCCCCUGAGGCGACUGAGCUCUUAGGGUGGAACACCAUGAGGAGAGAGACUAGAGAAAGUCCACACAUGGAAUGGUCAGCUGUGGGGAGUGAGGGAAGACCUAAGUGGAUAAAAUCCAGAGUGGAUGUGUGCUGUUGUCAUGGGCACCACCACGUCGAGGACCCUGAUAUCUGAGACCCAUGGGAAAUAUUAAAACCACCAUCAGGCUAGGUUGUAGGCAAAGUCUUCCCUUCAGUGUAUGCAAAAAACGAGCACCCUAGCUUCUUCUGCCUCCCAGGUACUUACAGCCCGAAGACUGCUCACCAACAGAGACUGCCCCUACAGCUUAGCUGACCCCGCCUUCCUGUUCAGCUCUACCAAUGACCCAGUGUCCCCAUUCAACUGUUCUAAUAAUCAUGCUGAGCUUCCGGGGUGCCUCACGUCUUCAUCGAGGAGCCCCGAACACCCAGUGCCAAUAUUUCUGCCUCUGUAUGUUUGUCUUUUCUUUAUUUCCUCAGUAACCCAGGCAAGCAAAUCCCUGGAGCUGUACUGGAGAAGGCGGAUGCGUCUGCCAGAAGCUGACCUAGAUAGAUGCUCUAGAGCCUGACUUGGCCUGCACCACCCACGGGGGACAUCUGGAUAUAUGUGUGCUCACUGCCCUCAGCUCAUCUUCCUUGUCUCCUGUGCUCUGCCAAGUCUCUUAGGAGCAUUCCUUUGGCCCCUGCUUCCUCGAUUUGCACAAGUCUCUCUCAUUUCAGAUCCCUUUCACACACCUGCCUCUCAUGUGUCAUUCUGUGUGCAUAGGUCUCACCUGUUGUAAAUAGGCCUUUCUUUAAGCUUGCUUACUGCUUUAAGACAACUUUUCUAUCAUUUUCCCUUUCUUCCAAAGGGUCCUUCUGGAGCUGGAGCUGGAGCUGGCUCAGUGGGUAAAGAUGCUGAAACCAAGUCUAGCUAACUGUGUUUGACCCCCCGAAACCCACAUGGUGGAUGGAGGGAGCUGACUCUAAGCUGCCUUCUGACCUUCACAUGCGCACCGUGUAGCAUAUCCUCUGUUGCUGCACACUUACAAUAAUAAAUAAAU
rnacentral:lncRNA from 1 species